CUAGGAUCAGAUUGGAUCCCCACGCCACUGAUUUUUCGAAGUCCACGCUUCAUCAGGAUUGGAUCCCCACGCGGCCACGCCUCCACAUCCACAAGCCAUCCCCAGAAGCGGCGACACCGCCGCCUCCGCCUCCGCCUCCACCUCCACCUCCACCUCCGCCUCCACUCGCCAUCACCGGUGGAGGGAACGCGUCGCCCUCAGCUCCGCCUCGACAAGCCCCGCCCUCCAGUCACCUCCGUCUGGACCUACCUCACCCUCCAAUCGCCAUCGCUGGCGGCGGCGACGCGCGACCACCUCCACACUGGUAGCGCCCACUCGUGACAACCUCCGUUCGCCUCCACCUAGACGUCGACCUCCUUCCACCAAGCACUACCGGCUGAGAGCGUCCGCAGAUGGACGCUAAUCCAAACACCGUCCAGACCGGUGCAGCCACUUCAAACAUAUCGAACCGAGCGACAGAAAAAAGGGAGAAAAAUUACGGCGGCGCUAGGGUAGGGCGCCGCCGCCGCCCACAUUGAUCCUGGAGGCCGUCGCCGCUGCCGCCGACGCCGUCCAGAUCGACCCCGGGAGGUCAUCGCCUCCUUCCAACCUGACACAGGUAGACCAUCUCCGCCGUUUGCCUCAACAUCGAGAGGCUGUAGCAGACGCCCACCCCCGGGAGGCCCUCACGACCGCCCGCAUCGAUUCUGGAGGACGCUGCCAUUGGCGGCUUCCAAUUUGGGAGGCCGAAGGUUGCUGUCUUCCCCGGAGGCUGCUGCUGCUAUCUGCCUCGACUCCUGUCUCGUUGUUGUCGUCUUCCUUCUUCCUUAGAGAUUGCAGCCAUCGUGGACCUCCACGGCCAGAACUUCACCCAGAACUCCUAAUCAGCUUGAAAAUGGCUGACGAUGGUCGGUUCAGUGAUUUACUAUGGAUGCCUCAUGGCCAACACAAAGUAUCUAAAAUUUCAGAAAAUUUCACCUAUUGCCGGCCGGCGAGCAGCCAACGAACUUGCCGCUGAAGACGCCGUGGCUGGAUUGAUGGCGCUGAGUAAUGAACAAAUCCAAGGCGCCGGCGUCGACAACGACAGUACGGCGUGGUUUGCAGGGUGAAGCGUACGGAUCGAAGGCGAACAGGCGCAUACGACGAUGCCGGCGAUCCCUAACCCUAGCUAGGUCGAACAACUUUUGUUUCGAUACUUCUCUUAGCGUAUCGGUAGCGUCUUGAGGGUCUGGCUGCACCAGGAAGAUGGACGCUGUUUGAAAGAGCUUCCAGAUCUGGACGCUGUUUGUAAGAGCAUCCAUGUCUCCAUCGUAUUUUGGUUAAUCUUCUCAAAGAAUUACUAAUUAUUUAAUUUAAAUAUUAUUAAUUAUUAUAAAUAAAAAAUUCGGCCAAUUUGAUGUCGUUAUUCAAUUAAAAAUUAGGUAUGAAGUCAAAAGGCAUGGAUUUACAUGUGGGUUUUGUGUUUUGUCGUGAUUUGUUACCUAUAUUUAAAUGUGGUUUAGCAUGAGCAACAUAUAUUUAAAUGUAAUUUGGCAUGAGCAUGGAAUAACUAGCUAGAUAUGAGUUGCAUAGUUCUCAUGAAGCCUGAAUGUGUGAGUAAAUGGUAUUAGUAUGAUCACUUUAGUUUGUGACAUAAUUGACUGUACAGAAUCAAAGUUUACUUGAGAGACCUAACAAACUAAUUUUCAAUGUCUAAAUCAAAAUUUAUCUGUAGAGCAUAUCUUUAAUGCAUAUUCUCUUUUUUUUAAUAAACCAGUGUGAUAUGUCAAUAAAACUAGUGGUUGCAGCUGAACAUUUAAGCCAAGUUUAUUGCCAAAUCAUGUACUGAUAGAACACUGCUACCUUUCCAAGUGAGUCAAUAUAGUUGUGCUUCAAAAUCUUAUAGUACCAUAUAAUAUUUCUUUCAUUAACAUUUUAUUGAGCCCUAGAACUAAUUCUAGGAAUGAAUUUUAAUAGGGAACACUAACUUAUGCAUUGAAGAUUCAGUUUCAUAUAUGGAGGAAAAUCGUAGUUGGAUGUAUAGAGAAUGAAAAGGUAGGUUAUACAGCCAAGUAUGGGCUACUGGGGUAGAUCAUUUUGUAGAGCAUGCGUUUUCAUUACCUGAGGCAUUGAGUGAUGGGACAUCAAGGUGUCCAUGUAGGAAAAUGUGUGUGCUCGCACAAGAGAAAGAGAGAAGAGGUAACAAUGCACUUGCUGCAGAAUGGUUUCCAGCAAGGAUAUUAUGCAUGUACUGGAGUACACCAAGUUUCAGGAAGAUGUCAAUGCGUGGCAAGGAGAAUCGGUUGGUAGGAGGUAACACUGUAUACCAUCGUAGCGGAUCACGUGGCUUAUUAGGGACUCGACAAUUCCUAAAGACCAAAAAUGGAGUUGAUCCUGGGCAGGCAGGAGCAUGGCAUCAUCAACACCGAAUGGAACAUGACGGGCCAAGAGGGCUCUGCUGUGAGAAAACUGCUAUUUUUUAGGCAAAAUAUGAUAAUGCAAUGAGAGAGAAAUAUGAUGAGGAUUGGCUAGCGAAGAAUCUAGACAUAGAUCAUGCAGUUGUACAUGACAUAUCAGGCCUGCCCCAUGGGAGAUUUGCAAAUGGGAGAUAGUGUAGUCAGUACAAUUGACAUAAGGGCAUUGUAUUGUAACAAAUCUCCUGGGAAGUCGUCAUCAAGCUCAAUGUAUGGUGCAUCAAGCUCCUCAAAAAGAAAAGCAUGUGAAUUAAAUCAUGGAGAUGGUGGUUCUGCUCAUGAUGAUGUUAGAGACUAUGGUGUUGAUCAUGUUGAUGAUAAUGGAGAGUAUUAUGGUGACGAUCAUGAUGAUGUUAUGCAUGGCUGAAGUCAUAUUCUUGACAUUCGUUCCAACUGAUUAGCUUUAGAUUCAUUAAGAAAACUAUUUGUUUUAAGCCAAAUGUUUGGCUAAUUGUACUAUACUGAUCGAGUAGUGGAAAACUCUAGAAAACUCACAGUAUUUGUUUGGUCAUGAAUCUUGUUCAUAUUUACUAUUAAACUACAUUACUAGAAAACUGCCAAAAUAAACUUCCUAUGUUGGGAAUCCAA